AGAGUUUGAUCCUGGCUCAGGAUGAACGCUGGCGGCGUGCCUAAUACAUGCAAGUCGAGCGAAUGGAUUAAGAGCUUGCUCUUAUGAAGUUAGCGGCGGACGGGUGAGUAACACGUGGGUAACCUGCCCAUAAGACUGGGAUAACUCCGGGAAACCGGGGCUAAUACCGGAUAACAUUUUGCACCGCAUGGUGCGAAAUUGAAAGGCGGCUUCGGCUGUCACUUAUGGAUGGACCCGCGUCGCAUUAGCUAGUUGGUGAGGUAACGGCUCACCAAGGCAACGAUGCGUAGCCGACCUGAGAGGGUGAUCGGCCACACUGGGACUGAGACACGGCCCAGACUCCUACGGGAGGCAGCAGUAGGGAAUCUUCCGCAAUGGACGAAAGUCUGACGGAGCAACGCCGCGUGAGUGAUGAAGGCUUUCGGGUCGUAAAACUCUGUUGUUAGGGAAGAACAAGUGCUAGUUGAAUAAGCUGGCACCUUGACGGUACCUAACCAGAAAGCCACGGCUAACUACGUGCCAGCAGCCGCGGUAAUACGUAGGUGGCAAGCGUUAUCCGGAAUUAUUGGGCGUAAAGCGCGCGCAGGUGGUUUCUUAAGUCUGAUGUGAAAGCCCACGGCUCAACCGUGGAGGGUCAUUGGAAACUGGGAGACUUGAGUGCAGAAGAGGAAAGUGGAAUUCCAUGUGUAGCGGUGAAAUGCGUAGAGAUAUGGAGGAACACCAGUGGCGAAGGCGACUUUCUGGUCUGUAACUGACACUGAGGGCGAAAGCGUGGGGAGCAAACAGGAUUAGAUACCCCAGUAGUCC
rnacentral:rRNA from 1 species